rnacentral:rRNA from 1 species
UGCGUAGGCGGAAAAUUAAGUCAGUGAUGAAAUCCUGCAGCUCAACUGUAGAACUGUCAUUGAUACUGAUUUUCUUGAAUUUAGUCGAGGUAGGCGGAAUGUGUAAUGUAGCGGUGAAAUGCUUAGAUAUUACACAGAACACCGAUUGCGAAGGCAGCUUACUAAGCUAACAUUGACGCUGAGGCACGAAAGCGUGGGGAGCGAACAGGAUUAGAUACCCUGGUAGUCC